rnacentral:lncRNA from 1 species
CCUGACAGCACCUAUUAGGUAAAUGAGGUGUUAGGAAAAUGGUCUUCAGCAAUUUCAUGUUUUGUUUCAUACGAAAGGCUUGGAUGUACCAAAUUUUCAUAAAGUAAAACUUUCGGAAAAUAAUACAUCACUUAUAUAUGGGGGGGUCAGGUGGGUGACGCAGCGGUUAAGUGUGCACAUUCUGCUUCGGCAGCCCAGGGUUUGCCAGUUUGGAUCCUGGGUGUGGACAUGGCACAGCUUGGCACCCGUGCUGCGGCAGGCGUCCCACAUAUAAAGUAGAGGAAGACGGGCACGGAUGUUAGCUCAGGGCCAGUCUUCCUCAGCAAAAAGAGGAGGAUUGGCAGCAGUUAGCUCAAGGCUAAUCGUCCUCAAAAAAAAAAAAAAUAAUAAUAAAUAAAUAAUACAUCACUAUAGGGAAAACUUUAAAGGUACUAAACAGACAGAUUUAAAAUUUUACAGGGCAUAGUCAAAGUAAAUGCUAAAUGCUGUAUUAUUUCAAUUUCAGCUUUCCAAGGAAGUUUUAUUUCUAAAUUUGCCAAGGGAUGAUCUGACCAUGUACUCAUUUCUGAAACUAUGUCCCAGAAAGGACUGCCUUCCUGAGUUGAAGAUGUCAGCAUUUAUCACGGCUCUCCUCAGCUUGGGGGUUUGACACUGAAUCACAGAAUGGAUGCAUCACGCCCAGGAGCUCUGCAUAAUUGUGCUACUUUAAAUGAACUCUCAUUUGAAGCAAGCAUUAGCUGGUUUUAGUAAGACGCCAGUGUACGACUGAUAACUUUAAAGGGUUAAAACAGUUUUGCAUUGACUAUUUCAGUUAUCUAGACAUCUCCAGGUGUGUAAACAUUUCCUCAUUCAUUUCCCAAAAGGCACACAGGCUGGUUUGUAGAAAAUAUGAGCAUGACUGUUUUCCAGGUGAGAAAAAGUGAUCCUAUGUCUUAGUAAUCUAAUCAUUCCCAUUUUUUCCUGAAGUCACACUGUAUUUAUGUUCAGAAAAUGUUCCCUUUUUCCUCGCACUCAUCAUCCUCUUCAACUUUGGAACAAACCCUUUUUUAGAUCUCUUAGGGGCAUGAUUAGUGUAGAGAGAGACCAGAGUCUCAUAAAUGGAGUUGCCUGGACCAAACUUUGUCCCAUGGAUUUCCUCUGUCAGGUUCUUUUGGAGGCGGCCCCUAUCCUUUCCGGGAGCUUGAGAACCCUUCCUCUGAGAAACUGUUCUCCCCUCACAUUGAGCGCAUCUGCUGGCCCCAUAUCAGCAUCCCAGCUGGACACGUGGACUUUCAAUCCACUCACGGUCGUACUCCCCUCGAGGGACAACGAUUUCUGCUGCUUUUCAUCCUGGGGGCAUUCAUCAGGAUUCUUAACUAGAACACUCCUGCCCAAGAGUCGAAUCCUACAGCUUAUACUCAUCACUCAAAAUCCUCUUCUCCAGCAUUCACUUUCACCUCCAACUUUGCACUCACCUCCAACUAGAAGGCUCCUAGGUCAGUUCUGGCACAGCUGCUUCUGGCCAUCCCCACUGUGGACCCCGCCUCUGUUCUCUGCUUGA